GAUGAACGCUGGCGGCGUGCCUAAUACAUGCAAGUCGAGCGAACAGACGCGGAGCUUGCUCCUUUGACGUUAGCGGAGGACGGGUGAGUCACACGUGGGUAACCUACCUAUAAGACUGGGAUAACUUCGGGAAACCGGAUCUAACACCGGAUAAGAUUUCGAACCGCAUGGUUCGAUGGUGAAAGAUGGCUUUGCUGUCACUUCUAGAUGGACCUGCGCCGUAUUAGCUAGUUGGUAAGGUCAAGGCUUAUCACGGCAACGAGACGUAGCCGACCUGAGAGGGUGAUCGGCCACACUGGAACUGAGACACGGUCCAGACUCCUACGGGAGGCAGCAGUAGGGAAUCUUACGCAAUGGGCGAAAGCCUGACGGAGCAACGCCGCGUGAGUGAUGAAGGUCUUCGGAUCGUAAAACUCGGUUAUUAGGGAAGAACAAACGUGUAAGUAACUGUGCACGUCUUGACGGUACCUAAUCAGAAAGCCACGGCUAACUACGUG
rnacentral:rRNA from 1 species